GAAAGCCGUGUGCAAUGAAAAGUGCAAGCACGGCUUGGGGAGGGAUCUUUAUGCUUUACGGAUGGCCUUGUUGAAAUACCCACAUUAAAAUUUUAGUAGUUUGGACGUGCUACCCCCU
rnacentral:ncRNA from 1 species